GGUGUUUUCCUCCAGACUGCGUGCUUGUUUUCAUUAAAAGACACGUUUGGGGGGAUAAGAUCCUGCUUAAUUUCAGUUAAAAAUGUAUUGCAUGUGGACUAGCAGUGACAGCCAGUGGAAUGCAAGUUGCUCUCACUGUCCCAUGACAGUGUAGCCUGCUCUACGGAAUAGCCAGGCUCACCUCAGUCCUCUAUGACAGGCCAGGGAAGUGUCUUCCAAGUCUUGGAGAUGAACUCCAACAAAGUAGUGCCUGAACAGGUACUUGAAGGCACAUGUCAGAACUGCUUCCCCCGCUUCAAAAAGUAAGCAGAAGUUACCUCAUGGGACACCAGUUGAGGCCGGCCCGAACAAUUCUCCGUUCUCUGGAACAGCCGAGCUCACUCUCCCCUCCAAGCAUUGGCUUGUGCUCACGUGGGCCCCCCAAUCCCUCCGAAGCCCUCCUGGAAAGCCCUCGC